rnacentral:rRNA from 1 species
AUUGUUCAAAACGUAUGUGUUCAUAUGAUUUUUGGCAAUUAUAUGAGUAAAUUAAAUCAUAUACAUAUGAAAAUAAAUAUUUAUUAUAUGUAUAUGGAAAAAUGUUGAAAUAUUCCCAUAUUCUGGGAUAUUCAUAAUAUUAAAAAAUAAAUGAAAAACAUUAUCUCACAUUUGAAUGUGAAAAACGAAGAGAAAUAUUUUCUUUUUCAAUCAAAUAAUACUGGAAAUGUCUAGCAUAAAAAAUUGAAAUAUUUUUCAUCUAGAAUUGUCUCUUAUUAAUGAUUCGGAAAUAGAAAAAUCUUGGUUAUGUUAUUAUUCUUGUUGGUUCGUUAAAAAUGGAUAAAUAAAAACUUUGCAUACAAGAAUUAAUAAAAAUGUUAUAACGAAUUUAAUUAAAUGUUUUAUCAUUAUAUAUAAAGAAUUUAUGGCAAGAUAAAGUUAUAUACAACCUCAACUCAUAUGGGAUACCCCUGAAUUUAAGCAUAUUAAUUAGGGGAGGAAAAGAAACUAACAAGGAUUUUCUUAGUAGCGCGAGCGAAAAGAAAACAGUUCAGCACUAAGUCACUUUGUCUAUAUGGCAAAUGUGAGAUGCAGUGUAUGGAGCGUCAAUAUUCAGUAUGAGAAAUUAACGAUUUAAGUCUUCUUAAAUGAGGCCAUUUACCCAUAGAGGGUGCCAGGCCCGUAUAACGUUAAUGAUUACUAGAUGAUGUUUCCAAAGAGUCGUGUUCUUGAUAGUGCAGCACUAAGUGGGGUAAACUCCAUCUAAAACUAAAUAUAACCAUGAGACCGAUAGUAAACAAGUACGUGAGGGAAAGUUGAAAAGAACUCUGAAUAGAGAGUUAAACAGUACGUGAAACUGCUUAGAGGUUAAGCCCGAUGAACCUGAAUAUCCGUUAUGGAAAAUUCAUCAUUAAAAUUGUAAUAUUUAAAUAAUAUUAUGAGAAUAGUGUGCAUUUUUUCCAUAUAAGGACAUUGUAAUCUAUUAGCAUAUACCAAAUUUAUCAUAAAAUAUAACUUAUAGUUUAUUCCAAUUAAAUUGCUUGCAUUUUAACACAGAAUAAAUGUUAUUAAUUUGAUAAAGUGCUGAUAGAUUUAAUAUGAUUACAGUGCGUUAAUUUUUCGGAAUUAUAUAAUGGCAUAAUUAUCAUUGAUUUUUGUGUUUAUUAUAUGCACUUGUAUGAUUAACAAUGCGAAAGAUUCAGGAUACCUUCGGGACCCGUCUUGAAACACGGACCAAGGAGUCUAACAUAUGUGCAAGUUAUUGGAUAUAAACCUAAUAGCGUAAUUAACUUGACUAAUAAUGGGAUUAGUUUUUUAGCCUAUUUAUAGCUAAUUAACACAAUCCCGGGGCGUUCUAUAUAGUUAUGUAUAAUGUAUAUUAUAUUAUUUAUGCCUCUAACUGGAACGUACCUUGAGCAUAUAUGCUGUGACCCGAAAGAUGGUGAACUAUACUUGAUCAGGUUGAAGUCAGGGGAAACCCUGAUGGAAGACGAAACAGUUCUGACGUGCAAAUCGAUUGUCAGAAUUGAGUAUAGGGCGAAAGACCAAUCGAACCAUCUAGUAGCUGGUUCCUUCCGAAGUUUCCCUCAGGAUAGCUGGUGCAUUUUAAUAUUAUAUAAAUAAUCUUAUCUGGUAAAGCGAAUGAUUAGAGGCCUUAGGGUCGAAACGAUCUUAACUAUUCUCAAACUUUAAAUGGGUAAGAACCUUAACUUUCUGAUAUGAAGUUCAAGGUUAUGAUAUAAUGUGCCCAGUGGGCCACUUUUGUAAGCAGAACUGGCGCUGUGGGAUGAACCAAACGUAAUGUUACGGUGCCAAAUUAACAACUCAUGCAGAUACCAUGAAAAGGCGUUGGUUGCUUAAAACAGCAGGACGGUGAUCAUGGAAGUCGAAAUCCGCUAAGGAGUGUGUAACAACUCACCUGCCGAAGCAACUAGCCCUUAAAAUGGAUGGGCUUAAGUUGUAUACCUAUACAUUACCGCUAAAGUAGAUGAUUUAUAUUACUUGUGAUAUAAAUUUUGAAACUUUAGUGAGUAGGAAGGUACAAUGGUAUGCGUAGAAGUGUUUGGCGUAAGCCUGCAUGGAGCUGCCAUUGGUACAGAUCUUGGUGGUAGUAGCAAAUAAUCGAAUGAGACCUUGGAGGACUGAAGUGGAGAAGGGUUUCGUGUGAACAGUGGUUGAUCACGAGUAUAGUCGGUCCUAAGUUCAAGGCGAAAAGCCGAAAAUUUUCAAGUAAAACAAAAAUGCCUAACUAUAUAAACAAAGCGAAUUAUAAUACACUUGAAUAAUUUUGAAGCGAAAGGGAAUACGGUUCCAAUUCCGUAACCUGUUGAGUAUCCGUUUGUUAUUAAAUAUGGGCCUCGUGCUCAUCCUGGCAACAGGAACGACCAUAAAGAAGCCGUCGAGAGAUAUCGGAAGAGUUUUCUUUUCUGUUUUAUAGCCGUACUACCAUGGAAGUCUUUCGCAGAGAGAUAUGGUAGAUGGGCUAGAAGAGCAUGACAUAUACUGUUGUGUCGAUAUUUUCUCCUCGGACCUUGAAAAUUUAUGGUGGGGAACGCAAACUUCUCAACAGGCCGUACCAAUAUCCGCAGCUGGUCUCCAAGGUGAAGAGUCUCUAGUCGAUAGAAUAAUGUAGGUAAGGGAAGUCGGCAAAUUAGAUCCGUAACUUCGGAUAAGGAUUGGCUCUGAAGAUUGAGAUAGUCGGCUUGAUUGGGAAACAAUAACAUGGUUUAUGUGCUCGUUCUGGGUAAAUAGAGUUUCUAGCAUUUAUGUUAGUUACUUGUUCCCGAUAGUUUAGUUACGUAGCCAAUUGUGGAACUUUCUUGCUAAAAUUUUUUAAGAAUACUAUUUGGGUUAAACACAAUUAGUUCUUAUUAAUUAUAACGAUUAUCAAUUAACAAUCAAUUCAGAACUGGCACGGACUUGGGGAAUCGACUGUCUAAUUAAAACAAAAGCAUUGUGAUGGCCUAGCGGGUGUUGAACACAAUGUGAUUUCUGCCCAGUGUCUGAAUGUCAAAGUGAAGAAAUUCAAGUAACGCGGGUAACGCGGGAGUAACUAUGACUCUCUUAAGGUAGCCAAAUGCCUCGUCAUCUAAUUAGUGACGCGCAA